GUGGCGAACGGGUGAGUAACACGUGAGUAACCUGCCCUUGACUCUGGGAUAAGCACUGGAAACGGUGUCUAAUACCGGAUACGAACUUCAGCCGCAUGGCUAGGAGUUGGAAAGAAUUUCGGUCAAGGAUGGACUCGCGGCCUAUCAGCUAGUUGGUGAGGUAAUGGCCCACCAAGGCGACGACGGGUAGCCGGCCUGAGAGGGUGACCGGCCACACUGGGACUGAGACACGGCCCAGACUCCUACGGGAGGCAGCAGUGGGGAAUAUUGCACAAUGGGCGCAAGCCUGAUGCAGCAACGCCGCGUGAGGGACGACGGCCUUCGGGUUGUAAACCUCUUUUAGUAGGGAAGAAGCAAAGUGUUUUACACGGAGUGACGGUACCUGCAGAAAAAGCACCGGCUAACUACGUGCCAGCAGCCGCGGUAAUACGUAGGGUGCAAGCGUUAUCCGGAAUUAUUGGGCGUAAAGAGCUCGUAGGCGGUUUGUCGCGUCUGCUGUGAAAACUGGGGGCUCAACCCCCAGCCUGCAGUGGGUACGGGCAGACUAGAGUGCGGUAGGGGAGAUUGGAAUUCCUGGUGUAGCGGUGGAAUGCGCAGAUAUCAGGAGGAACACCAAGGGCGAAGGCAGAUCUCUGGGCCGUAACUGACGC
rnacentral:rRNA from 1 species